CCGGCAGCCGCCAUGAUGGGGAGGUCGGAGCAGCCUCGGCGCGGCGCGGCGGGGUCCGGACUGGGCCGGGGGGUCCGGGGGUCGUCCGCGGCCUGGCUCGCCCCCGCUUUUAGCUCGGCAGAGCCCUGCUGGCUUGUGGUGCUAUUGGGAAUCGAACCUGGGACACCAGAACCUCAAGCACUUAUCAUUAUACUAUCUCCUCAGCCCAAAGUUUAUUGCUAGGACUCGGUGCCUACACUAUGAAUCCACUGCUCCUGGAGGCCUUUUUUUUCCC